GUGAAUCAUCAAAUUUUUGAACGCAAAUUGCACUCUCUGGGAUUCCGGAGAGUAUGCCUGUUUGAGGGUCAGUUUAAAUAAAAAUCGGUGUGGUGUCUGCCUUUCGUGUUAACUCACCGGGUUUUUGUCGUCUUUCCUUCGGUUAAGUGACCUAAAAUUUUGCAUGAUUUUUCUAACGUAUUUAAAUGAUUUUACGUACGUUUUCGAUAUCGAUUACUAGGUGUGGUCAGCCUCAUGAUUCGCGCCUAUAA
rnacentral:misc_RNA from 1 species